GAUGAACGCUGGCGGCGUGCCUAAUACAUGCAAGUCGAGCGAACAGACGAGGAGCUUGCUCCUCUGACGUUAGCGGCGGACGGGUGAGUAACACGUGGAUAACCUACCUAUAAGACUGGGAUAACUUCGGGAAACCGGAGCUAAUACCGGAUAAUAUAUUGAACCGCAUGGUUCAAUAGUGAAAGACGGUUUUGCUGUCACUUAUAGAUGGAUCCGCGCCGCAUUAGCUAGUUGGUAAGGUAACGGCUUACCAAGGCGACGAUGCGUAGCCGACCUGAGAGGGUGAUCGGCCACACUGGAACUGAGACACGGUCCAGACUCCUACGGGAGGCAGCAGUAGGGAAUCUUCCGCAAUGGGCGAAAGCCUGACGGAGCAACGCCGCGUGAGUGAUGAAGGUCUUCGGAUCGUAAAACUCUGUUAUUAGGGAAGAACAAAUGUGUAAGCAACUAUGCACGUCUUGACGGUACCUAAUCAGAAAGCCACGGCUAACUACGUG
rnacentral:rRNA from 1 species